CACCCAAAACCCACACACUUAGCUUUCUGUGUUGUGGGGCUUGCUGGAGCCUAUCGCAGAAGUCAUUGGGCGGAGGGCAGAAAACACACUGAGCAGGUUCUGCCAUUUUCAGUCCCUGGUAAGUGUUGUGCCCAGGAAUUUGCAAGACUUCACUGCCACCACAGUUCUGUCCAGGAUGGUGAGCGCUGGCAGGGCUGGAGGGCUCCUCCUGAAGUCCACUGUCAUCUCCACUGUGUUCAGCACCAGGUUAUUGUGGCUGCUACAGAGGACCACCUGAUCAACCACCCAUCUGUAAGCAGACUCGUCACCAUCUCGGAUGAGACCAAUGACUGUAGUGUCAUCUGCAUACUUCAAGAUUUUGACUGAGGGGUCCGUGGAGGUACAGUCAUUCGUGUACAGAGAGAAGAGCAAUGGUGAGAGGACACAGCCCUGUGGAGCACCUGUACUGAUGGUCUGGGUGUUUGAGAACACAACCAACCUCCAGUGGUUCUCAACAUGGUGGGUGUGAAAUAAGGAGGAGUUGCACGAUGGCUGUAUGCAUACAAAAUAUGAGGCUUUUUUUUCUUUUUGUUAAUAACUGUUUAUUGUUUUUUUUCACAGUAUAACACAAACACAGAGAUAUGCACAAAAACACAAUGUAACAAAAAAUAAAGGGGGUGAGGGAAUAAAGAAAGUCACUGCAUAUCACACAAUGUGUCAUAACAGUGAGAUUAAAUAAAUAAACACAUUA